GGCCCGUUGUGACGGCCGGGAUUUCUUCCAACUGCGAAUUGGUGAGGUCGCGGGUUCGAAUCCCGCCGACGUCG
rnacentral:tRNA from 1 species